rnacentral:rRNA from 1 species
AUUGAACGCUGGCGGCAGGCCUAACACAUGCAAGUCGAACGCGUGGCGGCCGGGUGAGUAGUGUCUGGGAAACUGCCUGAUGGAGGGGGUUAUCUACUGGAAAUGGUAUCUAAUACCGCAUACCUUCAUAUGUGCCCUGAUGGGAUUAGCUUGUUGGUGGGGUAACGGCUCACCAAGGCGACGAUCCCUAUCUGGUCGGAGAGGAUGACCAGCCACACGGGAACUGAGACACGGUCCAGACUCCUACGUGAGGCAGCAGUGGGGAAUAUUGCACAAUGGGCGCAAGCCUGAUGCAGCCAUGCCGCGUGUAUGAAGAAGGCCUUCGGGUUGUAAAGUACUUUCAGCGGGGAGGCGUUACCCGCAGAAGAAGCACCGGCUAACUCCGUGCCAGCAGCCGCGGUAAUAC